rnacentral:rRNA from 1 species
GAUGAACGCUGGCGGCGUGCUUAACACAUGCAAGUCGAACGGAAAGGCCCAAGCUUGCUUGGGUACUCGAGUGGCGAACGGGUGAGUAACACGUGGGUGAUCUGCCCUGCACUUCGGGAUAAGCCUGGGAAACUGGGUCUAAUUCCGGAUAGGGACACUUCUUGGAUGUUUUGGUGGUAAGUUUUUUGGGUGUGGGCUGAGCUCGCGGCCUAUCCGCUUGUUGGUGGGGUAAUGGCCUACCAAGGCGUCGACGGGUAGCCGGCCUGAGAGGGUGUACGGCCACAUUGGGACUGAGAGACGGCCCAGACUCCUACGGGAGGCAGCAGUGGGGAAUAUUGCACAAUGGGCGCAAGCCUGAUGCAGCGACGCCGCGUGGGGGAUGACGGCCUUCGGGUUGUAAACUCCUUUCGCUAGGGACGAAGCGUUUUGUGACGGUACCUGGAGAAGAAGCACCGGCUAACUACGUG